GAUUGAACGCUGGCGGUAUGCUUUACACAUGCAAGUCGAACGGCAGCACGGGGCAACCUGGUGGCGAGUGGCGAACGGGUGAGUAACAUAUCGGAACAUGUCCGGAAGUGGGGGAUAACGUACCGAAAGGUACGCUAAUACCGCAUAUGCCCCGAGGGGGAAAGGGGGGGAUCGCAAGACCUCUCGCUUUCGGAGUGGCCGAUAUCGGAUUAGCUAGUUGGUGAGGUAAAGGCUCACCAAGGCGACGAUCCGUAGCUGGUCUGAGAGGACGACCAGCCACACUGGAACUGAGACACGGUCCAGACUCCUACGGGAGGCAGCAGUGGGGAAUUUUGGACAAUGGGCGCAAGCCUGAUCCAGCCAUACCGCGUGAGUGAAGAAGGCCUUCGGGUUGUAAAGCUCUUUCAGCCGGAAAGAAAUUGCUUCUAUUAAUACUAGGAGUAGAUGACGGUACCGGAAGAAGAAGCACC
rnacentral:rRNA from 1 species